AUGGACGCUCGGUAGUAGGCUUCAAGGCGCCUGGCGAUGGCGGCGGCGUCUUCCGCGCAAGGGCUGUUCUGGCUCCGCUGGAGAAGGCGAUUAGUCAUGGUGUCUGCUGAGCAGUCCAUACAGAUCACCAAGUGCGGGUCUCCAACCUGGGGGUGGGGGAGCACAACAUGGUCAGAAAUUCCACUCUGUGAUAUUCUGGAAAGACCUCUAGUUCUUUCCUUUCCUGGCCUUCUGGUUCUCUCAAGGCCCCCCAGCCACACCGUGGCCGAGUUGAGACUGGACUUCAUGGCUCCUGUUUUCCAUGUGCUGCCUCAGAGCGGUCUCUUGCCCUCAGCUUUUGUCACCUCACAAAAUGUAGGGAUCAUAUAGUAUGCUACCUACUGCAGUCACAAUCUGUCCUCCAUACUGAGGGGACAUCUGUGUGUGUAUGCAUAUGGGUGUUUCCUCUGGGAAGCCUUCCCUGAUGAGAAGAGCUAAUUACUUCCUUCUUUGUACCCGGUUCUAUCCUACGUGACCACUCGGAGCACGGAGUGCCUGUGUCUGUUUGAUGCGGGGUCAGCAGAGCGUAAGGGUGGAAGGCACAAAGGUUGGAGUCAGGCUGCUGAAGGUGUGGUGACGUUCUCUAAGGUGGUCUUCAUCAGUUCCUUGCCUUGGUGUACUUGAAGCUCUUCCUCCACGGAGACACAGAGCCCAGAACUCUACCUCCUCGAAACUGAGCUGAUCCGUAACCACUUGGACCAAGGGAAUAUAAUGGAAAUGAGGCCUAGGCUUCACGCCCAAUGUGGGGCUUGAACUCACGACCCUGAAAUUGAGUCACAUGCUCUACCGACUGAGCCAGUCAGUGCCCCUCAUUUUCUCAUUUGUACAAUAAGGAUGAUCACAGAUUGCUGUAAGGGGAUGUACUUGAAGGAACAGGGUGAGAAAACGCUCCAGAAUCUACAAGAGCGAAACCUCUGGACUAGGUCAUGCACCUUUUCUGCCUGUAUCAACUGGAAAACAAAAGGAGCGUUUGAGCAGCAGGAGAGGCUGGGUGUAGAAGGAAAUGACUCGUGUCUACCAGCAGAGGGCGAGCUUGGGAGGCGGCCUGGGGUUCGGUUAGAGUUGGGCUCCCCGGAGCCGUUUCCGGUGGGCUCUGCAGGAGAAGACAAGAAAGUCCUCCGGACGAGUUCCCUGCGUCCCAGCUCGGCCUCUUUUCCUCGAGACUGGCUCCCCGUGAGCACCACGUGACCGGAAGAGCGCUCUGCCCGUGUGCGAAUGACUCACAGAGACCUGGGGACACGCCCCUGCCCCCAGCCUCACCCUGCUGGGGUCCCCGCAAUUCUGACGCGGCGGAGUUGGUUCUUCACAGGCUUUGCGUGUUAGAGCACAGGGUCCCGUAGGGGCGGUUGGCGUCCCGCAAGCAAACAACGUUUCGAUAGCUACGGCUUUGCCUACAGCCCUCCCUUCGGCCCGUUUGGCCCUUUUCCUGCCGGAAGUAUCAUCUCUCUUCUGCGUAAGAGGAAAUGGAGGCUCAGGGAGGUUAACUUGCCCGAAGCCACUGAGGGCUGUUACUGACGGCCCCGAGUCAGCUGUGUGUAGCCCCAAAGCCUGGGGACUUCCCCUCGUGGCCGUCUCCUUCGGGACGGGGCUCAGGCCAGACGCCGGGGGGCCAAACGGGGCCAGGAGACGAGGGCGAGACAGCGGGGAAGCAAGCGGGUGGCGUGCGAGACCCUUCUGUUUUGCGGACGCGGGCUCUCGCUGCGUCUCGGGAUCGAGCUGGGAUGAGCGCUCAUCCCGGCUGAGAGCAGCCACCAGGAGGAGAAGGUCCGCUUCAGCCGCCGUGGGCUACUGACUUGCCCGAUCCCAGCAGGUGGGACGGGAGGGGGCGUUUACCCUGCUCUCCCCUGACCCACACUUUAGUUUUGUUCUGAUUAAGUCAGGACACUGGCUGGGCCCUAUUUACCAGUGGGCAGGGGCGUGCCCCCCAAAACUCUCUUUUGUUGGGAGAAAUAGCGGUCUUGUUCUCUCCGAGUGCCUCAUUUUCCUCAUUUUAAAAUGAGGAUAAUAAUAGUUUCUACCUCAACAGGACACAUUGCCAGGAUGAAUGAGUUAAUAGACGUCAAGUGCCUGGCCCAUUUUAAGCACUACGUAAAUGUGAGCCUGGCAAUAUAUUCAUCCCUUUUCAUUGUAAAAGCCCCCGUUGGUCAGAUUUGGGUUUAGAAAGAGUCAGAGGCCCCACCCAUGCUUUUCGCCUGAGUUACAUGCUCCAGCGUAUUUCCUGGCUUCACCGCGCUGGGAGGUAAGGGCCCUUGGUUAACAAGAAAGUGGCAUGCCUAUUUUCCAUUUGCUCUCACCUCAGAGGUACCUCCCCUUAAGGAACCUCCCUAGAGGAGGGGUAUCUGGGUCAUUCCAGCAUUCCUGAACACACAACCCUAAUAACAAAAAUACCAUCCCGCUGCUACCAUUCUAUCAUUACACAGCUCAAAGUUCUAUAACGAACUGGAAGUCAGAUGAGGAGGGCAGGAAUUUGCAAGUGGGGCAUCCCAAGGUGGUCCCCAAGGCUCCUCGCAAUUCCAAGCAACUAGAACACACCAACUAGAAAGUCCUUUGGCCAGAUUCAAAACCCCUCCCCCCCUUCUAUUUUUUCGGGGGAAGAACUCAUUCUGAAAAUGAGAAUCACUUAUCCUGUAGAUGGAAGUGUUAUGAGGUAGUUAAGAGUCAUCAUCAGGCAGAGGGGUAGUAAUGUCAUCCUGCACACACCCAGGAAAAUGAUCUGCAUAUUCAGGCGAAGGGCACAAUUUCAGCUAAGAGGCUCCUGGGAGGGAAAAGCCAAGAGCAAGCACAUGCAUUUUAUUUCUGUUAAUAUCUGUUUAGUUUGGCUGUUGUUGAGCACAAGCUUGGGUUAAUGUAGGAAAGCACUUCAAUUUCACACUGGAGAGCCAGGCUAAGCACAUAGCCCUCUUGGAGACGAUAAUAACUCUACAGAGUGGAAACAAUAGUAUCUGCUGAAUAGGAUUUUAAAGAUUAAUAAAAUGACAUAUGUAAAGCAUCUAGUUCAAUUCCUGGCAUAUUUCAAGUGCUCAGAAAAUAACAGCUAUUACUCUAUUAGUUAUGUAUUCCGUAUGAUAUUAUCUGUAUACAAAUGGGUAGAACUCAGGGCGCCUGGGUGGCUCAGUUGGUUAAGCGACUGCCUUCGGCUCAGGUCAUGAUCCUGGAGUCCCGGGAUCGAGUCCCACAUCGGGCUCCCUGCUCAGCGGGGGGUCUGCUUCUCCCUCUGACCCU